GGAAUAGCCUUUCGAAAGAAAGAUUAAUACCGGAUAGUAUACGAAUAUCGCAUGAUAUUUUUAUUAAAGAAUUUCGGUUAUCGAUGGGGAUGCGUUCCAUUAGUUUGUUGGCGGGGUAACGGCCCACCAAGACUACGAUGGAUAGGGGUUCUGAGAGGAAGGUCCCCCACAUUGGAACUGAGACACGGUCCAAACUCCUACGGGAGGCAGCAGUGAGGAAUAUUGGUCAAUGGGCGAGAGCCUGAACCAGCCAAGUAGCGUGAAGGAUGAAGGCUCUAUGGGUCGUAAACUUCUUUUAUAUGGGAAUAAAGUUUUCCACGUGUGGAAUUUUGUAUGUACCAUAUGAAUAAGGAUCGGCUAACUCCGUGCCAGCAGCCGCGGUAAUACGGAGGAUCCGAGCGUUAUCCGGAUUUAUUGGGUUUAAAGGGAGCGUAGGUGGAUUGUUAAGUCAGUUGUGAAAGUUUGCGGCUCAACCGUAAAAUUGCAGUUGAAACUGGCAGUCUUGAGUACAGUAGAGGUGGGCGGAAUUCGUGGUGUAGCGGUGAAAUGCUUAGAUAUCACGAAGAACUCCGAUUGCGAAGGCAGCUCACUAGACUGUCACUGACACUGAUGCUCGAAAGUGUGGGUAUCAAACAGGAUUAGAUACCCUGGUAGUCCACACAGUAAACGAUGAAUACUCGCUGUUUGCGAUAUACAGUAAGCGGCCAAG
rnacentral:rRNA from 1 species